rnacentral:lncRNA from 1 species
UUCUGCCGAGUAUAGGCACUAACAGAAUUACAUAUGGACUCAAUCUGCUAGAGGCUGAGUUAUGUUUAAUCAAAAAAAAUUUUAAUUUUUUUCUAUAAAUAUAGCAUAGAAACACAUGGGGAAAGGCACACAGAAUAUAGAAUACAAAACAUAGAAGAUAAAGAGAGAUCACACAAUAAGCAGAUAGCAGUAAAAAAGUUUUUCACGAAUUUUUUAAGUUUAGGAAAAAAAAAGAUUUU